GUAAUUCCAAAAACUAAAACAGCACCCUUCUCGCUCCCGCAAUGUCAAAAGCCAUGGAAGCAUUCCUUCCGAAGCUCUCUUUCUUCUAGUACCAUAUCCAUAAGCUGAUACUGACUGAUUGUACAAGGAAUCGAACGCCCACACACAUCAACGUUUUCCGGCGGUUUUUCAUGAUUCCGGCCAACUCCGACCACCCCCAACAUCAAGAGCGAUGUAGAUUCGUCAAGCUUGGGUAGUAGGAUUGAAGGUGGAGUUCUAUAUGGAGUUGAAGAUGUGAGUAUUUGUCGUCGCCUUUUGCUUUUUUGUUUCUUGUUUCAUGGCAGAACAGAUACUUUCCGCUUGAUUCUCUUCUAGCUGGCCAUGCAAUGUAAAACAGUAAGAGUAGCAAUGGUUUUGCAUGAACUGGCCCAAAAGCCCCCUCACAGACUCCUUGCAGAAAAAUUCAUCGCACUCUUGCAGUCCUGUAAGGCCAUGAAGCAACUUCACCAAAUUCAGACCCAGAUAAUCGCCCACGGUUUCUCACACAACGAGUACAUUGCCCCGAAAAUAGUCUCAGCAUGCGCCGAACUGAAGCAAAUGGCGUAUGCCCACAAGGUGUUUGAUGAAAUACCUGAUCCAAAUGUUGCUCUAUGGAACGCAAUGUUCAGAGGGUAUGGGAAGAAUGAGAGUCAUAGAGAAGUUAUAGUAUUGUUUAGUAGAAUGAAGAGCAUGGAUAUAUUGCCCAAUUGCUUCACAUUCCCUGUCGUGAUUAAAUCUUGCGGAAAAAUGAAACGGCUGGUAGAAGGUGAGAUGGUGCAUUGUGUAGUGAUAAAAUGUGGGUUUGGAGCAAACCCAUAUGUGGGAACGACACUGAUUGAAAUGUAUGCAGCUGGGGGACUGAUUGGAGCUGCUUACAAGGUGUUUGGUGAGAUGUUUGAGAGGAAUGUGGUUGCGUGGACUUCCAUGAUUAAUGGGUACAUUUUGUGUGGUGAUAUGGUUUCUGCUCAGCGCCUUUUUGAUUUGGCUCCGGAACGUGAUAUUGUGUUGUGGAACACUAUGAUUUCAGGUUACAUUGAGCUGAGUGAUAUGGUGGCGGCUAGAAAACUUUUUGAUGAAAUGCCAAGACAAGAUGUUAUGUGUUGGAAUACGGUUUUGAAUGGUUAUGCAAGUAAUGGGGACAUUGAGGCUUGUGAGAGGUUGUUUGAGGAGAUGCCUGAGAGGAAUGUUUUCUCUUGGAAUGGGUUGAUUGGAGGGUAUGCGCGUAAUGGACGGUUCUUUGAAACUCUGGGAUCUUUCAAGCGGAUGCUAAGUGAGAGUGAUUUGCUUCCUAAUGAUGCCACCUUAGUGACUGUUUUGUCAGCCUGUGCAAGACUAGGAGCUCUUGAUUUGGGUAAGUGGCUACAUGUAUACGCAGAGAGCAUUGGGUACAAAAGAAAUGUCUAUGUUGGGAAUGCUUUAAUUGACAUGUAUGCAAAAUGUGGGAUUAUUGAUAACGCACUAGAUGUGUUCAUGAGCAUGGAUAAGAAAGAUUUAAUCAGUUGGAACACAAUCAUUUGUGGCUUGGCAAUGCACGGUCGUGGAGCUGAUGCCUUAAAUUUGUUUAGCCAGAUGAUGAAUUGUGGAGGAAAGCCAGAUGCCAUCACCUUCGUAGGCAUUUUGUGCUCUUGUACGCAUCUUGGAUUAGUCGAAGAUGGCCUUUUGUAUUUCCAGUCAAUGGUUGAUGACUAUUCCAUUGUGCCUCAGAUUGAGCAUUAUGGCUGUAUGGUUGAUCUGCUUGGACGCUCUGGUCUUUUGGACCAGGCUAUGAACUUUGUGAGGAAGAUGCCAAUGGAAGCAGAUGCUGUUAUUUGGGCUGCCUUACUUGGUGCAUGUCGGAUUUACAAGAAAAUUGACUUGGCAGAGUUGGCACUUGAAAGGCUAAUCGAACUCGAACCAAAAAACCCUGCAAAUUAUGUCAUGCUUUCAAACAUAUAUGGUGAUCUUGGGAGGUGGAAAGAUGUUGCAAGACUAAAAGUUUCAAUGAGGGAUACAGGACAUAAAAAAUUCCCUGGUGUUAGCCUUAUAGAGGUGAAUGAUGGUGUGGUUGAGUUUUAUUCCUUGGAUAAGAGACAUCCUGAGACUGAGGAAAUAUAUGGUGCCUUGAUGGGGUUGACGAAACUGCUAAGAUCAUCUGGAUAUGUACCAAACAUUCUGGAGCUUGGGCAGGGAGCCUAUCACGACUGAGAGAGGGUCAAUCCGCCUGCUAACUAGCUAUGCGGAGGACCAGAGGUGACCAUCCGUGGUGAGCUUCUUAGAGUAUGGUCACCAUGCAAGGAAGUUAGAGGCAAUAACAGGUCUGGGGUGCAAUUUUUCUUUUGCUUGCAUUGCUCACCAUGUCUUGGAGACAGGCUAAAGCAGCAAUUGGCCAACCUACAGGAUAGGCUUGAACUAAAAUGUGGGCCGAGUUUGACCCUAAAUAUAAGCGGGUUAAACUGGAACAGACUCAUUUACGAACUUUGGCAUUCGGUAGCUGAUUGGGCUACAAUCUACUGGUCAAGUCAAACCCCAAUGGGUAAUAACAAGUAACAAAAUAUUUUUAGCCUACCAGCCGUGAUCAGCAAGUAAAUGGCAACCUUGUUGCUCUUUGUUCAGACAAGUAAACGGUAUCAGUUCAUUGUUCUUAUAUGUAUAUUACUAGAGCUGUUGUUUCUUUGGUAAUGUAUGUCUCUUUUAGCCUUUACCAUUUAAGUGGGUGAUAGUGUUUUACUGAGUAUAUUUGAAAUCAUGCUUCAACCUGCAUUAAUCACCCAUUUAUUGCAACCCUUGAGUAGAUUCUUACGCUUAACGGCAAAAUGAGAAGUUCCAGAAUACCUUUUCCUGGCGAUGAAGGUGGAGUCGUGCUUGACAAGCAAUAAAGAAGGUUUUGAAGGGUACAAAGAAGGCAGGUUUCGAUUAGGUCUUGCUCUGAAACAAGGGACAAGGUUUUUAUAUUGGAGGAGAGCACAUGACCAUACAACGCGUCUUUGACAGUUUUGGACAAAGCUGUUUGUGUCGAUGGGAAUUUUUCUUUGCUCAUGUUUCAGGUACUUAAAAACUGACAUCGUUUCCCAAUUUUGCAUGCACAUAAGUUGUUUAUAAAUGCAUGUUUUUACAUGUUAACGUGAAUAAUGAACUGUUUCCAUGCUACAUUUAUCGUCCUUCAAUCGGAGAUUUUUUUUUUCUCUC